UACGAGAGGCCCAAACGUUAUUCGGAAUUACUGGGCUUAAAGAGUUCGUAGGCGGCGCAGAAAGUCGGGUGUGAAAGCCCUCGGCUUAACCGAGGAAUUGCGCUCUAAACUACUGUGCUCGAGGAACCUAGAGGUGAGCAGAACAGAUGGUGGAGCGGUGAAAUGCGUAGAUAUCAAGUGGAACACCAGUGGCGAAGGCGAGUCCCUGGAAAACUCCUGACACUGAGGCACGAAAGCUAGGGGAGCAAACAGG
rnacentral:rRNA from 1 species